AAUUCCAGCUCCAAUAGUGUAUAUUAGAGUUGUUGCAGUUAAAAAGCUCGUAGUUGGAUUUCUGUCGUGGUCAGCCGGCACCGCCCGUAUGGGUGUGCGCCUGGUUUGCCCGCGACUUUCUUCCGGUAGCCUUCCGCGCUUCACUGCGUGCGUUGUGUGUUCCGGAACUUUUACUUUGAGAAAAAUAGAGUGUUUCAAGCAGGCUUGUCGCCCUGAAUACUGCAGCAUGGAAUAAUAAGAUAGGACCUUGGUUCUAUUUUGUUGGUUUCUAGGACCAAGGUAAUGAUUAAUAGGGACAGUUGGGGGCAUUCGUAUUUAACUGUCAGAGGUGAAAUUCUUAGAUUUGUUAAAGACGAACUACUGCGAAAGCAUUUGCCAAGGAUGUUUUCAUUAAUCAAGAACGACAGUAGGGGGUUUGAAGACGAUUAGAUACCGUCGUAAUCUCUACCAUAAACUAUGCCGACUAGAGAUAGGGAAACGCCUACCUUGGCUUCUCCUG
rnacentral:rRNA from 1 species